GACUCCGUAGCUCAGGGGAUAGAGCAACGGCCUUCUAAGCCGUUGGCCGCAGGUUCAAAUCCUGCCGGGGUCACCA
rnacentral:tRNA from 1 species